GUGCUUGCUUCAUCAGCGCAUACAUUAAAAUUGAAAGAAUAUGGAGAAGAUUAGCAUGGUCCUUGCCCCCAAGGAUGACAUGAAAAUUUAUGAAGCAUUCCAAAUUUUG
rnacentral:snRNA from 1 species